GGACCCGCACAAGCGGUGGAUGAUGUGGUUUAAUUCGAUGCAACGCGAAAAACCUUACCCACCUUUGACAUGUACGGAAUCCUGCAGAGAUGCGGGAGUGCUCGAAAGAGAGCCGUAACACAGGUGCUGCAUGGCUGUCGUCAGCUCGUGUCGUGAGAUGUUGGGUUAAGUCCCGCAACGAGCGCAACCCUUGCCAUUAGUUGCUACGAAAGGGCACUCUAAUGGGACUGCCGGUGACAAACCGGAGGAAGGUGGGGAUGACGUCAAGUCCUCAUGGCCCUUAUAGGUGGGGCUACACACGUCAUACAAUGGCUGGUACAAAGGGUUGCCAACCCGCGAGGGGGAGCCAAUCCCACAAAGCCAGUCGUAGUCCGGAUCGCAGUCUGCAACUCGACUGCGUGAAGUCGGAAUCGCUAGUAAUCGUGGAUCAGAAUGUCACGGUGAAUACGUUCCCGGGUCUUGUACACACCGCCCGUCACACCAUGGGAGCGGGUUCUGCCAGAAGUAGGUAGCCUAACCGCAAGGAGGGCGCUUACCACGGCAGGGUUCGUGACUGGGGUGAAGUCGUAACAAGGUAGCCGUAUCGGAAGGUGCGGCU
rnacentral:rRNA from 1 species